rnacentral:rRNA from 1 species
CCCUUAGAUGCCCUGGGCCGCACGCGCGCUACACUGACAUGUUCAACAAGCCUCCUAGUUCGACAGGAUUUGGGAAAUCUUUGAACGCAUGUCGUGAUAGGGAUAGAUCAUUGCAAUUAUUGAUCUUGAACGAGGAAUUCCUAGUAAACGCGAGUCAUCAGCUCGCAUUGAUUACGUCCCUGCCCUUUGUACACACCGCCCGUCGCACCUACCGAUUGAAUGUUUCGGUGAAGAUUCCGGAUAGGACUUUUUUGAUUUAUUUCAAUUUUGUCUUAAAAGCUAUCUAAACCUCAACAUUUAGAGGAAGGUGAAGUCGUAACA